CCUACGGGUGGCAGCAGUAGGGAAUAUUGCUCAAUGGGGGAAACCCUGAUGCAGCGACGCCGCGUGAGUGAAGAAGUAAUUCGUUAUGUAAAGCUCUAUCAGCAGGGAAGAAAAAGACGGUACCUGAGUAAGUAGCCCCGGCCCACUACGUGCCAGCAGCCGCGGUAAUACGUAGGGGGCAAGCGUUAUCCGGAUUUACGGGGUGUAAAGGGUGCGUAGACGGCAGUGCAAGUCUGGAGUGAAAGGCGGGGGCUCAACCCCCGGAUUGCUGUGGAAACUGUACGGCUGGAGUGCAGGAGAGGUAAGUGGAAUUCCUAGUGUAGCGGUGAAAUGCGUAGAGAUUAGGAGGAACACCGGUGGCGAAGGCGGCUUACUGGACUGUAACUGACGUUGAGGCUCGAAAGCGUGGGGAGCAAACAGGAUUAGAUACCCCUGUAGUC
rnacentral:rRNA from 1 species